rnacentral:lncRNA from 1 species
UGCGGCAAAAGUGUGAGAUUCAUCCUCGGAUAAUUCUACAGACUGUAAAAAUGCUUGUCGUGCGGAUUCCUUGUCGCCAUGUAAUUCUAAAGCAACCCCUAAUAAAGUGUAGACAUCUUCCGUAAUCCAAUUUGAUAUCAAAUAGCUUUCUGCAAUAACAAGUUCUAGACGUUCUAAGGAAUCCUGACACUGUCUAACAUUAUUGAGAUGAUAAUGACAAAGAAAACUAAGGAAGUAUGCAUUCCAAAAGUCUCCUUGCGGCAGAAUUGUCCGAUUCAUCCGGGUAGAUUUCUAAAGACUGUAAAAAGGCUUGUUGUGCGGAUUCCGUGUCGCCAACUAAUUGUAAAGCAACUCCCAAUAAAGUGUAGGCCUCCGCUGUAAAGUUCACACCUGACAUCAAAUAUCUUUCUCCUAUAACAAGUUUUAAAUCUUGAAUAGAAUCCUGACACUGUCUAGCAUUAUUGAGGUGAUAAUGACAAAGAACACUAAGGAAAUAAGCAUACGCUGUGGAGGGAAUGAAAUACAUUUCAUUCCUUCCCUCCAUUAAAAGUUCGUCUGGUGUUAAUGUUGAAUUCACUUUUAAUUGUAUAUGAUCUACGAAUAGUAUUUUUAAAAGAUAACCAACACUCUUCUUGUUGAAUGACAGCAGUUUAAUUGACUGGUAAUGGAUAUCAGACAAACUCAUUCCGUAGAACAGUUUGUCGGGAGUACAUUUCGAUAUAGAAUACCUAAUGAUGUGUAAAGCUUUUCUGUAUUGCUUUGUUUUGUAAAACAAUGAAGCUACCAUAAGCCACCCAGAAACAGCGUCAUGAUAGACAUUUGUUAGCAGAGUACUUAGACAGGAUUUGUACUGUUUGUAUUGGUAUUUAUUAUUGAUAAUUGCACCAUCAAGUG